AGGACUUUGGGCACGGCUCCUGUGGUGCUGGUCCGACUCACUGCAGCUAAUUUCCAGAGACUUUCAUCUGCAAACCCUAAUUUUCUCUCUCUUUCCUUCUGAUACCUGCACUUUCUCUCUUCUGGAAACAUGAGUGGCCGGGCCAGUAGGACCCUCUAUGUUGGCAAUUUACCAGGAGACAUUCGUGAAAGAGAAGUUGAAGAUUUAUUCUAUAAGUAUGGUCCAAUUGUUGAUAUUGAAUUGAAGAUUCCCCCCAGGCCCCCUGGCUACUGUUUUAUUGAGUUUGAAGAUGCUCGUGAUGCUGAAGAUGCUAUCCGCGGUCGUGAUGGUUACAACUUUGAUGGCCACCGGCUAAGGGUAGAACUUGCCCAUGGGGGUCGGAACCAUUCUUCAUCUUCAGAUCGCUAUGGUGGUAGCUAUGGUGGUGGGCGUGGACUUUCAAGGCGCUCUGAAUAUAGAGUGCUUGUAACUGGGUUGCCGUCAGCUGCUUCAUGGCAAGACUUGAAAGAUCAUAUGCGUCGGGCUGGUGAUGUUUGCUUUUCUCAAGUGUUUCGUGAUGGCAGUGGCACAACUGGUAUCGUGGACUACACAAACUAUGAUGACAUGAAAUAUGCGAUAAGGAAACUUGAUGACUCUGAGUUCAGAAAUGCAUUUUCUCGGGCUUACAUACGGGUAAAGGAGUACAAGUCAGGGAAGAGCCUAUCCCGUAGCCGCAGUCGUAGUCACUCAGUUUCAAGAAGUAGAAGCAAGAGUCCUGUUCCUAGUCGUAGCCGAAGUCCUAGUAGAAGCAGAAGUCGAAGCAUACCCCCGAAGGCCAAAUCCCUAUCUAGAUCUCGAUCUAGGUCCAUUUCAUCACGUUCUCGUUCACGAUCACCACCACCGCGUGUGAAAGGAAGAUGAGGCAUGCGGCUUGCAAGCAUAUUUAUGGGAUUGCUUGUUUGGAAAUAUAUGGGGAUGGCUGGAAUUGGAUUACUUUUGAUGUGUGCCUGAGGAGCCACUUAGUUGAAAUUGGGUGAGCUUGAAAUAUGGAUUUCUGGGAAAGCUUUUGGACACAUCCAAGUGGAACUGGAAAUCCCAUUGGAACCAAAUUUUUCCAGACCUGGAUCUAAGUCAAAGUCACCAUCUCCCUCUCGUCGGCAUAAGCGAACAAGCAGUAGGAGGAGCCCCAGCAGGAGCCGCAGUAUUUCGCGUUCUCGCUCCCCUGUGGCAAAAUCUGAUCGUAGCCGCUCUCUGGAUUCUCGGGGCCGUUGACUCCUUUGCUUUGCAUGGUUAGGAAUUACAUUUUGCUGUGGACGAAUUGAGAUCCAAGGUGGUUUUGGUUGACUGAAGACACCAUGAAAAACAGAUUAUUGGCUUUUCUUAUUGUUUUCAUGUUAGAAAAUAUUGUGUUCUACGUAGUGGAACCUGGAUUUUGGGCUCAAAUAGUUGCAGUCCUGAACUUCCUAAGAAAAAUUGGUAGCGCCUUAUUUCGGGAAAAGGGAACUUUUUAUUGUGGUUUAUUGU